rnacentral:misc_RNA from 1 species
GAUGAAGAACGCAGCGAAAUGCGAUAAGUAAUGUGAAUUGCAGAAUUCAGUGAAUCAUCGAAUCUUUGAACGCACAUUGCGCCCCUUGGUAUUCCGGGGGGCAUGCCUGUUCGAGCGUCAUUAUAACCCCUCAAGCUCAGCUUGGUGUUGGGGCCUGCCAACUGGCAGCCCUUAAAAUCAGUGGCGGCGCCAUCUGGCUCUAAGCGUAGUAAUUUCUCUCGCUAUAGGGUCCCGGUGGAUGCUUGCCAACAACCCCCAAUUUUCUAUGGUUGACCUCGGAUCAGGUAGGAAUACCCGCUGAACUUAAGCAUAUCAAUAAGCGGAGGA